GAUGAACGCUGGCGGCGUGCCUAAUACAUGCAAGUCGAGCGAACGGACGAGAAGCUUGCUUCUCUGAUGUUAGCGGCGGACGGGUGAGUAACACGUGGAUAACCUACCUAUAAGACUGGGAUAACUUCGGGAAACCGGAGCUAAUACCGGAUGAUAUUUUGAACCGCAUGGUUCAAAAGUGAAAGACGGUCUUGCUGUCACUUAUAGAUGGAUCCGCGCUGCAUUAGCUAGUUGGUAAGGUAACGGCCUACCAAGGCAACGAUGCAAAGCCGACCUGAGAGGGUGACCGGCCACACUGGAACUGAGCCCCGGCCCAGACUCCUACGGGAGGCAGCAGUAGGGAAUCUUCCGCAAUGGGCGAAAGCCUGACGGAGCAACGCCGCGUGAGUGAUGAAGGUCUUCGGAUCGUAAAACUCUGUUAUUAGGGAAGAACAUAUGUGUAAGUAACUGUGCACAUCUUGACGGUACCUAAUCAGAAAGCCACGGCUAACUACGUG
rnacentral:rRNA from 1 species